CCCCUUAUAGAAUCCAUUAUUGAUGGGAAGAUAUUAUUUCAUUAUUUUUAGAAUUAUUUUCUUUCAAUGGUUAUUAAAAUAUAACAUAACACCAUCACAGAAUUUUAAAUGCUUGUGACGUCACAUUUUAAGUGUGGCAACAUUGGUUUGCUUGCGUUUGACAGCGUAUCGAUGGGAGAGGGGAAUUGAAUUGCCCGCGGAGAUCGUCAGCCAGCUAACGAGAGGGCAUUGGCUUUCUAGAAGUGUGUCGGAGUGGCAGGUCGGUAGCUUGAUAUUUUACCCACAAUUUCAAGAUCCAAAUUAUAAUUAAAGAUUGAAUCCAUCCAGCAUUAGGGAAUAUAAAGUUAUUAGUGAAUACGAAGUUGAAGAAUUUGAAUGCAGAUUUAAAAUGAGUUCCGGCCUGCCACCACUAUGAAAUCAUAAAAAAAAAGAAAACCUAAGACCACCAAGGUAGACCACUUCUAGAGAGACGGUCACUAGGAGACCAGCCUGGAAGAUCUCCAUAUCUAUCUUUUUCGCCUGUACCUUCAACUGGUUUUUUUUCCACCUGUUUUCUUGUACCUCCAGCAGGACAGUUGCAAGAGGGAGUUAGCACCCCCUUGUGCUCAUUGCAUCCCGGUCAAUUUGGGGAAUACACAGCAAGGAACGCACCGCAAGGAACAUUGGAAGAUUGUGAAAAGGGGUUUGUGUUGAUGAACAUUCGGUUUGCUCUAAGUAAAAAUUUAGACUGUUUUUGUGAUUUUCAGGAUACUUAGUUUAUUCAUAUAGGUACUUUAUAAAUUUAUUGCACAUAACCUUUCCCUUUUCAAGAUUUUUAUAGUAUUACAGAACAGUAUAAUAAUUGAUAGCGU